rnacentral:rRNA from 1 species
GCUAAUUCCAGCUCCAAUAGCGUAUAUUAAAGUUGUUGCAGUUAAAAAGCUCGUAGUUGAAUUUCGGGGUCAGUAGGCUGGUCGUGCCCCCGGUACGUACUGGUCUAACUGAUUCCUCCUUCCUGAAGAACCGUAAUGCCAUUAAUUUGGUGUUGCGGGGAAACAGGACUGUUACUUUGAAAAAAUUAGAGUGUUUAAAGCAAGCUAACGCUUGAAUACAUUAGCAUGGAAUAAUGAAAUAGGACGAUCGAUCCUAUUUUGUUGGUUUCUAGGAUUGACGUAAUGAUUAAUAGGGAUAGUUGGGGGCAUUAGUAUUCAAUUGUCAGAGGUGAAAUUCUUGGAUUUAU